rnacentral:lncRNA from 1 species
GGGAAUGCACAUAUGCAAAUGUAGUGCUCUUGACGAUAAAAGAUGUUGUCCUAAGUUAUAAUAUAUGAAUAUUAUUAAAUAUAAUGAUGCUUAACAUUAAUAAAUGAUGUAUUAGAUACGUUGUAUAAGCAUACUAAGCACGCACAAGAGAGACGAAUCAGGCGUGUGACGAAUGAACGUAGAAACGGCGUGCCAAGUGUAAAUAAACUUAAAAAUUGUUUCAAUUCAAUUGAAAUGAAUAUUAUAAGAUAUGGAAUGGAUUUAAUAUAAAACCAAUAAGUAGUCCUAGCAAGACUUAAG